CCUACGGGAGGCAGCAGUGAGGAAUAUUGGUCAAUGGACGAGAGUCUGAACCAGCCAAGUAGCGUGAAGGAUGACUGCCCUAUGGGUUGUAAACUUCUUUUAUCUGGGAAUAAAAUGUUCCACGUGUGGGAUUUUGUAUGUACCAUAUGAAUAAGGAUCGGCUAACUCCGUGCCAGCAGCCGCGGUAAUACCGAGGAUGCGAGCGUUAUCCGGAUUUAGUUGGUUUAAAGGGUUCGCAGGCGGAUUUUUAAGUCAGCGGUCAACUCGUGGGGCUAAACCCCAUCCAGCCGUUGAAACUGGGGAUCUAGAGGGUGCGAGAGGUGUGCGGAAUGCGUGGUGUAGCGGUGAAAUGCAUAGAUAUCACGCAGAACCCCGAUUGCGAAGGCAGCAUAACGGUGCACAACUGACGCUCAGGCACGAAAGCGUGGGUAUCGAACAGGAUUAGAUACCCCGGUAGUC
rnacentral:rRNA from 1 species